rnacentral:rRNA from 1 species
GAUGAACGCUGGCGGCGUGCUUAACACAUGCAAGUCGAACGAUGAAGCCCAGCUUGCUGGGUGGAUUAGUGGCGAACGGGUGAGUAACACGUGAGUAACCUGCCCUUAACUCUGGGAUAAGCCUGGGAAACUGGGUCUAAUACCGGAUAGGAGCGUCCACCGCAUGGUGGGUGUUGGAAAGAUUUAUCGGUUUUGGAUGGACUCGCGGCCUAUCAGCUUGUUGGUGAGGUAAUGGCUCACCAAGGCGACGACGGGUAGCCGGCCUGAGAGGGUGACCGGCAAAACGGGGAAGGAGAAACGCCCAAGACCCCGGGGGGAGGAGGAGGGGGGGAAUAGGGAAAAGGGGGCGAAAGCGUGAAGGAGCGACGCGGGGGGGGGGAGGAAGGCCUGGGGUUUGUAAACCUUUUAGAGGAGGAAAGAAGAAAAGGGGAGGGACGGUGAAAAAGAAAACCGGCAAAAAAAGGGC